rnacentral:misc_RNA from 1 species
ACCUUUCUAACCCUUUGUUAGCUAUCUAAGAGCACUCUCACCCACUCUUACAUGAUUGAAUUGGAAGUUGUCAUCAUAUUGACAAAAAGAUAAAUAUUUUUAAAGCUAAAAGAACUGAAGAUAUCUUUUCUUUUAAGGGUCACAGCAGAUUCAUUUGUUUCCAGUUUCGAUAUUUUGUAUACAUCAAACAAAAAAGAAGCUUUUGUUUUUUCUUA